rnacentral:lncRNA from 10 species
AAAAUGCUCCAAAGAGCUCUGGAUGACCUCAUGAACAAAGAAAUGAAAGAAUGGCACCACCAAAAGCCACCCUGCAGCUGAUCCAGGCAUGGAUCUGUACUUUGGACGUGUCUUGUUCAUAGAAACUGCUGGCCAAAGUGCCUUCCUUUGCAGGAAGACAUUAGUAGAGAUGAAAUGGGAGAAUUAGAAUCGUGGGCUUGGUAUUUGCCAUGGCCUGUGCUUGGAUACACGGAUUAGCUCAUUACUCCUCUCAACCACAUAGUGCUGUGCUAUCAUCAUCCACAUUUUACAGGGGAGUCAUCAGAGGCACAAAGCUAAGGGACUCUGCUAAGUUCCCACAGCCAGUGCCCUGUCUGCUGUUUCACUUGAGCGGUUUGGAACAGCAGCCUGAGUCCUUCUCAUUCCCCAAGGCUAUUUCUAGAGUGCGCUUCCAGCUAUUUUGUCCUGACAGGUUCAGGAAGCUGAAACGCUGCCUCUUAUAGGAGCACAGCUGGCUGGGGAGUCCUCCCACUCCGAGCCUCUCGCCCCCAGCUCCAUCCUGACCUCCGCACCCCACAGGGUUCAGGGUGACCCCGGCUUUGUCUGGACUGUGGCAGCGCCACCCAUUCCCUAUUGUGACCCAGGCAGUCAGGCUGGGCUGUGAGCUAGCGGGCGUGGAGAGUGAAGCCCCGCCUGGCCCCCCUUCCACACUGGAAGCCUCUCUGUGGCUGAUGGGAGGACCAGGGCUGAUGAAAGGAUGGAGCCAUGAAGGGCAGCCCUCCUGCUGCGGGUCGCCCUGCUGCUGCCCUGGGCCUGCAGCUCCUGGCACGUGGGUCUCUGGGACUCCUUGUGGAUGUGCCUCUCCAGGGCCCUCCAUCCUCGGUGGGCAGGAGACUCCCCUAGGGAGCUUGCUCUCAAGUUCUCAAUAGCAUACACACGGCUGCCACAAAUACACAGAAGUUUUGGGAAUUAGCUCUGUGAGACAGGCCUAUUUCAGAUAAGAAAAAUGAGGAUCAGAGAAGCUGAAAGUCUUGCGGAGGACACCCCAGCAAGGCGAAUUACAGGCCCAGAAUUCUAACGAGGGCAUCCGGACUCUGGGAUUACAACCGCCUUCUGCGUCCCAGGAAAAACCUCCUCUAGUCAUGCCCAGAUCUGCCUGGUCUAAAAACCACAAAAAUCGCAGGACUUUCCACUGAGUCAAUGCUUGUCACGUCUAGAGACCUGGAUCGAGCUGUUUCCUUCCAUUCACAGAGCCGUCCUGCAGGAGAGAUGUUACUUUUACCAUCAAUGUAAAAACUGAGCCUUAAACUGCUUCAGAAACUGUUUAGAUUCAUUCAACUGAAUAUUCACACUGGAGUUUGAAUCAAGGCCUACGUGGCUUUAGAAAUUUAAGAUCCAAACCGUACCACUGUUGUACCUGACAUCCUUCAUGCACCUCCCUCAUCUUCAGAGAAACAAUUCUAAUUCUUCACUUUAAAGCAAGGUAGUGUGACUUUCCAAUGACUUCAGGGCAUUCGGUAAAGAACAGCUUGGUUCAAAGUAAGUUGAUGAGCACAGCAAUUUCUUCAUAAUGGCAACCUGGUUAAAAAAAAAUAAAAUAAACCCAUACCUGGCUUUGGGAAGGAAGUUGUUUGUUUUAAUGUUUUGUAUUUGGACUUGCAUCACAUAGAGUGGUGAUUUUUUUCAACAUUUUGUGUGUCACUUAACAUUUUUAAAAAUAAAGUCUUACAAGCUGUGAAACAAUGUGAACAUCCUGAUCCUAUCUCUGUAAAAUAUGAUGGGUGCACAUUGAUAGACGAGGGUGUGGAAAGUUACAUCUGAA